rnacentral:rRNA from 1 species
UGAGGAAUAUUGGUCAAUGGGCGGAAGCCUGAACCAGCCAAGUAGCGUGAGGGAAGACUGCCCUAUGGGUUGUAAACCUCUUUUGUUUGGGAGCAAAGUGCGCCACGUGUGGUGUAUUGCGAGUACCAUUCGAAUAAGCAUCGGCUAAUUCCGUGCCAGCAGCCGCGGUAAUACGGAAGAUGCGAGCGUUAUCCGGAUUUAUUGGGUUUAAAGGGAGCGUAGGCGGAGCGUCAAGUCAGCUGUGAAAUGUCGCGGCUCAACCGUGGAGCUGCAGUUGAAACUGGCGUUCUUGAGUAUACAUAAGGAUGGUGGAAUUCGUGGUGUAGCGGUGAAAUGCUUAGAUAUUAGGAGGAACACCAGUGGCGAAGGCGGCUUACUGGACGAUAACUGACGCUGAGGCUCGAAAGCGUGGGGAGCAAAC